GUGAAGUCUUUCUUUAAAAUUCUUCUUUGGUUGUUGUAGUCAACAAUUGACUACAAUUAUUAUUGUGUACAUACAUUGUUUGAUUGCUCUUUAUUUACCACAUCAUCUUGCCUCGGUCCAGCCACAUCUUCAAGUGAUUUAUUCUUACUCAUUGGUGAUGGCACUCUUGCAUAACUUAGUGCCCAAAACCAAGCUAAUAUUUCAAAGCUCCAAUCCUUGUCUGCUCAAGACUAUUGCCAUGCUUUUGUGUAUUUGAUUUGCAGAAGAUGCAUAAACACAAGUGCGAGGAAGCCACCAAGGCCAAUAGUAGAAACUAAACCACCACAAAACAAUAUAGUCCUUGAUCAAAACAAGGAUAUAAAAGAGACUCUGAUGAUAGAGGAGAAGAGUAACAGAAAGCUCCAAGACAAUAAUUCCAAUGUCAAGACAAACUAGGAACCUUGUUAAAGAUAGUAUUAUCUUUCUUUAGUUCUUGAUCUACAGAUCAUCGUAUUGGAAGUUCAUUUUUUUUUAUCAAUGUUAUAAGAGAGUAUUUCUAUAUUCA